rnacentral:rRNA from 1 species
AGAAUCAACGCUGGCGGCGUGCCUAACACAUGCAAGUCGAACGAGAAAGUGGAGCAAUCCAUGAGUAAAGUGGCGCACGGGUGAGUAACACGUGACUAACCUACCCUUGAGUGGGGGAUAAACCUAGAGAAAUCUGGGCUAAUACCGCAUAAUACCUUCGGGUCAAAGGAGCAAUUCGCUUAAGGAGGAGGUCGCGGCCGAUUAGUUAGUUGGCGGGGUAAUGGCCCACCAAGACUGUGAUCGGUAUCCGGCCUGAGAGGGCGCACGGACACACUGGAACUGAAACACGGUCCAGACUCCUACGGGAGGCAGCAGUGGGGAAUUUUGCGCAAUGGGGGAAACCCUGACGCAGCAACGCCGCGUGGAGGAUGAAGCCCCUUGGGGCGUAAACUCCUUUCGAUCGGGAAGAUAAUGACGGCACCGAGAGAAGAAGCCCCGGCUAACUUCGUGCCAGCAGCCGC